GAAGAAACAGCAAAAGGGGAAGUGGGAGAAACAGUAAGGAAGCGUUUUUAAUUAAAAAUAUGUAUACCUAAGAGGAGACUUUAUUUUCUAUUUCUGGUGGUGGUGAUCUAUGUUCUGGAAUCCAUUUACCAGAAGUUUGUGGAUCUUUUGUUUGAAGUGGAAUUGUUCAGUGCCCUACUCUCUUUGACGGUGCAGAGCCUUGCGGCAAAGUGUUCUCCUGGGCCCUAGAGACCCCCAGGGCACCUGGCAGGAGCCCGUAAACCACGGCAGAGUCCCAAGUGGUGCAUGUUUUGGCGAGUGAUGGGCAGGACUGAUGAUUCACAGCUGUGAGGCUGUGCUAUUGUUUUUACCCUCUUGUACUGCUUUUAAUAGGAAGUCCCGACUUUACGUCAGUUGUGAGAGCAGCGUCUUAUGAUGUGACAGGCAAGAAGACAUUCCUUGCAUCAAAUAUAAGAGUUUAAUGAGAAGAGUGGAGUGGAUAAGUGAACUCUCCCAAGAGUACUGUUUUUUGUUUCCCUUUUUAAAUGCUUUCUUGGUACAUAAAUAAUAUAAUACUUUUUUUAAAGAAAUUCCAGAUGAGUGGGAAAAAAACCAAUCACCUGUUAUUACACUAUCUGAUUAUAACCACUGUUAACAUUUCAGUUUUUAUCUUUUCAGACUUUUUUCUAUGCAUCUGUGUGUGUUUUAUUACUUUUUCCAUGAAAUAUAAUCAUAUUAUACAUACUGUUUUAUAACUUUUAUCCCUUUUAAUGCUAUAUUGUGAAUAGAUUUCUAUAUCAGUAAAUAUGUAAUUACAUUAUUUUUAACCUCUAUGUAGGUUGUACCUUGGAUACUUAGGUUGUUUCCAAUUUUUUUACUGUUGUAGUCAAGGACAUAAUGAAGUUCUUCUAACAUCCUUGCGAACUUUUCAGAAUAUUGACUUAGGGUAAUUUUCUGAAGUUAUCACUGGCUCAAAAGUACGCGCCUCCCUAUCUGCGGCUCCUUUCCUUCUGAGGCAUACAGGACUUCACCCUCCAUCCCCCUUGUACUCAUUCAGGGUCCUAUGACUAAUUCUGGCCAAUGAAAUGUGAGCACAGGUGACACAUGAAGCUCCAGACAGACACUGAAAUGCCCAUGAGCAGUUCCGCAGUGUCUGCCUUCCCUUCCCUCAGCAAAUGCUGAUGUCCCAGGGACAGAGCCUCUGUCAAGCCUGGAUCCCUGAGUGACUACGUGGAGCAGCCCCCUUCUCCCUUCAUGUUACCCUCACCUGCCACCCUGCAUGGACGGGUAGCAUGAAUAAAAAAAAUAAACCUUAGGUGUUAAACACUGGGGUUUCAGGGUUAAUUGGUUAACUGCAGCAUAACAUAUCCUGUUGCAACAAUAAAAAAGAAUGCACAUUUUUAGGACUUGUAAUAUGUAUUGCCUCAAAUUGCCUUCCAGAAAGACAGACCCAAUUAUACUCCCACCCACAGUGUGUGAGUGUGUACUGCUUCCUCUUUAACACUGGAGUUACCCUGGGGACAGAGAGCUAAAAAAAAUAUUUUUUUGGUUAAAAUGUAACCCUUUAAGGUGUUCAGCAGUAUCAUUGAUUUCUAAGAGGUUUAUUUCAUAAACAUUGUAAAACAAAAUUUUAAGUUGCACGUAUGGCUUUUUAAAAACGUUUAGACAUUUAAAAAAACACCUUUUAGUCAAGUUUAUCUGUUACUUUUUUUUUUUUUUUUAAUGGUUGCUACCUAUGCCGUCAUGCUUAUGCAGGUCUUUCCAAUUCUUUUUUUUUUUUUUUUUUUUUUUUUUUUUUGAGACGGGGUCCACCCUGGCCCCCAGGCUGGAGUGCAGUGGCGUGAUCUCAGCUCACUGCAACCUGCGCCUCCCGGGUUCAAGCGAUUCUCAUGUGUCAACCUCCCUCCUGAGUAGCUGGGACUACAAGUGUAUGCCACCACGCCCAGGUAACUUUUUGUUUUUAGUAGAGAUGGGUUUCGCCAUGUUGCCUAGGCUGGUCUCGAACUCCUGAACUCAGGCAAUCCACACGCCUUGGCCUCCCAAAGUGCUGGAAUUACAGGUGUGAGCCACCAAGCCCGGCGAGGUCUUCCCAAUUCUGAUGGCAAGGUUGUAUAAAUAUUCACCACUAUCUUAUUCUUGUACUUUUAUUAUUUCUUUCUAAACAGUUAAAUCUGUGAUCUGGCUGGGCGUGUUGGCUCUUGCCUGUAAUCCCAACACUUUGGGUCGCCAAGGUGGAAGGAUCACUUGAGUCCAGGCAUUUGAGGUUACAGUGAGCUUUGAUGGCACCGGUGCACUCCAGCCUGGGGAACAGAGCAAGACCCUGUCUCUAAAAAAAAUUUUAAAAACCUCUGAUCUAUCUGGAAUGUAUUUUCUAAAUUACCCCAACACUGUUUAUUGGGAAGUCUGUCCUUUAUUCUAUAUGAAAUCCCAUUUUUGCCAUACACCUAGUAGCCCUUCUGUUGGGUGCCAGGAUAAGCACCCUGGCCUUGAGUGUGCUGUGAACUCUUUAUUAUGGGUUGUGAUCUUCCUGCACAUUCUAGCACUGGUACCACAUUGUUUGGAUCGCCAUAGCUUUGGACUAAACUUCCCCAUUAAACUUUUUCAAAACUUGCCUAGUAUAUUGUGCAGGCCGGGCAUGGUGGCUCACGCCUGUAAUCCCAGCACUUUGGGAGGCCAAGGUGGAUGGAUCACCUGAGAUCAGGAGUUCGAGACCAGCCUGGAUAACAUGGCGAAACCCCAUCUCUACUAAAAAUACAAAAAAAAAAAAAAAAAAAAAAAAUUAGCUGGCUGUGGUGAUAGGAACCUGUAAUCUCAGCUACUUGGGAGGCUGAGGCAGUGAACCCAGGAGGCAGAGGUUGCAGUGAGCUGAGAUAGCACCAGCCUGGGCAACGGAGCGAGACUCUGUCUCAAAAAAACAAAAAACAAAACAAAAAAAAAACCUUCCAAAAGAAGUUUGAGAUAAUUUUAUGUUUAGAAAAAUUAGAAAUUGGAUUGAGUAAAAUUUACAUAUUUUACACAAGAGGACUAACAUCUUUAUAAUAUUUAACCUUUCAGUAAAUUUAUGUUUUAUGUUUCUCAGCCUAUCUUUUCUAGUAUAGGUGAUUUUUUUAGUGUGGUUACUAUUGUAAAUGAGAUCCUACUACUUUAAAAAAUGAAAAUUAAAUCUAUCGCUUUUAUGACUUUAAAACAUUAGACUUAUGUAAGUGUAAACAUUAUUUAAAAACAUAAUGUAGAAAAUUAAAGUCCCCCAUAAUUAAAAUCCCUUUCCCCCAGAAAAAGUCAACAGCAUAUUCAUCAGUUUUUUCCUAAAGUAUGUUUUAGCACUUUGACCAUAUGAGACAACCCUUCUGCUGUUAGCAUUUUUCUCUUUGCAAUAGAUCUUCCUAUGUCAGUACACAUCAAUCUACCUCAUUCUUACCUCUGCAUAAGAGAGUAGUGUGUAGUUGUAUAAUAGUUUAACUUGGCGAUUGGUUAUUGAUUUUGUAACUAGCCAGUUACUGAAUUAUUCUAAAGGUUUUGCUGUUGUUAAUUUCUUUCGCCUUUUUCAGUUGGGUAAUAGUUCUGGGUAGGUUGAUAAUUUUAUUCCCAUAUUUGUAAUCUUAUUUCACUUUCUCAACUCAUCACAUUGACUGGUACUUUUAGAACAAUGUUAAAAAACAUUUACAUAAUUGUGCUGAUAUUGUACAUUAUUUGAUAUAUAUAUAUCAAAUUUUUUUUACUUAGAAGAGUGUUUCUCCAAAACUAUAAAUUUGACUCUUAGUGUAAAAUAAUCUUAAUAUUUGAAUUAUACAUUCAGGUUAUGCCCUCUAUUUCUAGUUUGAUGAAAAUAUUAUUAGUAAUGGAUGUUGGGGUUUUAUUAAAUGGCUUUUUUCCACAUCUGUCAAGAUGAUCAACUGGCUUUUCUCUAUUAUGACUUUAGAUGAAUCGUUUUAAUAGAUUUGCUAAUGUUAAGACAUCUCUGCAUUUCUACAAGAAUCUGAUGUAGUCAUAGUAUACUAUUCUUUUAAUAUACAUCUCCUUUCAAUGUUAACAGUGGUUAUUUAUGAUUGGUUGGUCCAUAGUAGAUUUUUAUUUUGUGUUUCUUAUCUGUACUUUCUGAUUUUUCUACAAAGAUUGUGUAUUACUUGUAUAAUAAAAAUAAGAGCUUUAAAUUGU
rnacentral:lncRNA from 1 species